rnacentral:rRNA from 1 species
AGUGAACGCUGGCGGUAGGCCUAACACAUGCAAGUCGAACGGCAGCACAGUAAGAGCUUGCUCUUACGGGUGGCGAGUGGCGGACGGGUGAGGAAUACAUCGGAAUCUACUUUUUCGUGGGGGAUAACGUGGGGAAACUUACGCUAAUACCGCAUACGACCUACGGGUGAAAGCAGGGGAUCUUCGGACCUUGCGCGAUUGAAUGAGGCGAUGUCGGAUUAGCGAGUUGGCGGGGUAAAGGCCCACCAAGGCGACGAUCCGUAGCUGGUCUGAGAGGAUGAUCAGCCACACUGGAACUGAGACACGGUCCAGACUCCUACGGGAGGCAGCAGUGGGGAAUAUUGGACAAUGGGCGCAAGCCUGAUCCAGCCAUACCGCGUGGGUGAAGAAGGCCUUCGGGUUGUAAAGCCCUUUUGUUGGGAAAGAAAAGCAGCAGGUUAAUACCCCGCUGUUCUGACGGUACCCAAAGAAUAAGCACCGGCUAACUUCGUG